rnacentral:rRNA from 1 species
CCCUUAGAUGUUCUGGGCCGCACGCGUGCUACACUGAGUAAUUCAAUGGGUAAGGGAACGCUAGAGCAUUACCUAAUCUUGAAAUUUGCUCGUGAUGGGGAUCGACGGUUGCAAUUUUCCGUCGUGAACGAGGAAUACCUUGUAGGCGCAUGUCAUCAUCAUGCGCCGAAUACGUCCCUGCCCUUUGUACACACCGCCCGUCGCUACUACCGAUUGAAUGGUUUAGUGAGAUCUCUGGAUUGACGCUGGCUAGGGGGCGACCCUUGGCCAGACUGCUCGAGAAACUGCUCAAACUUGAUCAUUUAGAGGAAGUAAAAGUCGUAACA